GAUUUGUAGUAAAAUUAUGGUUAUUAAAGAAUGGAUGUGCCAUUAUUUAAUUUUGUGCCAUAAAUUAAGAAUUAUACUUUUACUACUUCUUCUUCUACCACUACUACUACUACUUUUUAGUUUUAAUUUCAGAAAAAAUAAAACCCAAUGAUGUAUCAAUAUCAAAUACCUAUAUUCCAUCUCACGACAGAAGGUAGUAGGUACAUGCAUCGGCGAGAGCACGGAGGUCAAAUUUCUACCACUCCUUACCGCGUAAAAUCGUAACCGAACUGGUAAAAAUGGCAAAAUUCAAUGACGGAAAAAAAAACUUAUACUUUCUGUCGUGGGACAGAGUAUAGUAAAAAUCGACUAUAAAUAACAUAAAUAAUCUCGCUAUUUAAAAAUAUAAUGUAUCUUAUAAUCCGUCUUAUUGCUGAAAAAAGAUAAUACAUAUUUAUAUAUAAAUAAUAUAAAUAAUAAAAAGAGAUAAUUAAGACUGAAAGUAUGCAUGUAAACUAUAUAAGCUUAUUUUUGAACUAUACAUUAGUAGAUGCUGAUAAAUUUAUUGUAAGUUUAGAUUGUAUUUUAGAUAAAAAAAAAAAUAAUUUCUUACUACCUAGGUAGUGUACAUAACUUAUGUCUUUUACAGUUUAGACACAUAAAAAUGUAUGGAUACCAUGGCCAACAUUUAAGUUUCUUUUAAAUGAAAAAGGAUGUUUAAAAUAUUAGUAUGAAAAAAAUAGGUAUGUAUAAUAUAUAUAUAUAUAUACAUUGUAAUUUGUACUUUACUACCUAUCUACUCCUAAAAUUUAUUUAGGUACCAAUAAGCACAAUUUGUAAAUUUGUGUACCUAUAUUACCAAAACAAAAUACAGUUCAUUCCCCCUCCCAAAGGAGAAAACUGAGCACAACACUGUAGGUGUUUAAUGUAAC